GACGAACGCUGGCGGCGUGCUUAACACAUGCAAGUCGAACGGAAAGGCCCUGCUUUUGUGGGGUGCUCGAGUGGCGAACGGGUGAGUAACACGUGAGUAACCUGCCCUUGACUUUGGGAUAACUUCAGGAAACUGGGGCUAAUACCGGAUAGGAGCUCCUGCUGCAUGGUGGGGGUUGGAAAGUUUCGGCGGUUGGGGAUGGACUCGCGGCUUAUCAGCUUGUUGGUGGGGUAGUGGCUUACCAAGGCUUUGACGGGUAGCCGGCCUGAGAGGGUGACCGGGAGCAUGGGGACGGAGGUACGCACGAGACGCGAGGGGGGGGAGGUGGGGGGGAAGAGUGCACACGGGGGGGAGGCGGGGGGGAGGCGCGCGGGGGCGGGGUUGAGGCCCUGUGUGUUAUACCACGCUUGGGCUGGGGCGGAAGGGGUAGGGACGGUAAGGAGAAAAGACCCACCGGCUAGCUCCGUCACGGGGGCGGAGGAAAGGAGGGGAACCCCACUUCUGAUC
rnacentral:rRNA from 1 species